ensembl:lncRNA
CUGUUUUGACAGUUAUUUAAGUUUUAAUCAGCACACCACAAAACUUGUGCAAUCAUGUUUUUACCAUCUUACAAUUAUAUCAAAAAUAUGAUCAGUAUUAAGUUUGAAUGACACUGAAACCAUUUUACAUGCUUUUAUUUAAUCACAACUGGAUUACUCCAACAGCCUUUUUACUUGUUUAACCCCAAAAUCUAUUGAUCAACUCCAGACUUUACAGAACUCAGCUGCCAGGCUUUUAACCAGAACCAAGAAACAUGAUCAAAAGACCCCAUGUAUGCUGCUAGUCCAGUAGCUAGAGUGGCUAAUACCUUGGCCAGAGCAUAACCGGUUAUCUUCACCCAAGAAACCUACUGUUGGUCAAUCGUUUUGGUUUUAAAGGUCAAUGCAUUGUUAGUCACAAUGUUUAGUUACUGGGCCAAAAGGAAAAUAAUAUUAAAAAGAUUUGAGGGACAAACAGGACAUUCACUUGAAUCACUACAUGCUACAGAAGUUGUAUCGAUUCCAGAAAACCAGGAAAAUGUUGAGCCAUCUGUAGACUUCAGAGCUGAACCAGGUUUCUCCCCAGUAAUCCAGACUCCACUUCACAGAGCCAAGAGUUUGAGUACAAGGCACUUGACUUUCUGGAUAAAAGGUGUCGAGCUCGUCAAGUACUAAGCUUUACACCACCAGCAGCAAAUUUACCCUGGCAGCAUAUGGGUGAAAACGCUGGAGAUUUCCAGUGACUCCAGAAUGAAAACCAAGCUCUGAGGGACGAGAACCAAGCCCUGAGGGAAUGCAUUGCACAAGCAGCUUCGGGUUGACAGCGGCUCACUUCAAGAGCAGGUGAAGCAAGUAGGGACAAUGUUGAAGACGUUUGCUCUCACUGGGCAAUCAGGUGCGUUAUCUGAAAGGAGCAUCUGACCGUGAAGGCAGAAAAAGCCGCACAGCUGAGAAGGACCCACAGCCGACCCCUUAAACCUAGGCUGACUACUGACACCCCAGCAUCACUGAACUGGAACACUUUCUUUAUCCUGCAGUCAGUAACAUCAAGAAGCCAGAAGUGCCAGACUACACUCACCAAAUCCACCCUGUUUUUAUUUUUUUGUAUUUUAACUUUAGUAUUGGCUUAUUUCAUUCCGUCUUAACGAUUCUAUUAUAGUUUGUAAAUCCUAUUUCAUACCUGUUACUUGAUAUUGCACAUUAACUAGUACCAAAAUUCUACUUUCAUUUCAUCAGUGUGCUUAACUGUUAUUCUAUUAAUAAUAGCUUGGAAAUACUAUUUACUACCUCUGAUACUUGAU